CUUAUCAAGUAGGUGACAGAGUUUGGUUGCCACACGGUACAUAAGACUCAAAUUGCCGUCUUUGAAAUUCGACCCAUGGUUCUUUCGGUCGAACCCAUGGUUCUUUCGUGUUGUGUGUAAGGUCAACCCUGUUUUCUAUAUGUGUGUCUGUAUAUGUGUGUCUGUAUGUAUUGGUCUCUCUGUGUAUGUGUGUGUUUGUAUGUAUGUGGCUGUGUGCAUGUGUGUCUGUAUGUAUGUAUGUGUGUGUUUGUGUGUCUAUAUGUAUGUGUGUCUGUAUGUAUGUGUGUGUCUGUGACUGUGUGUGUAUGCAUGUGUCUGUAUGUGUG